rnacentral:rRNA from 1 species
GACGAACGCUGGCGGCGUGCUUAACACAUGCAAGUCGAGCGGUAAGGCCCUUUCGGGGGUACGACGAGCGGCGAACGGGUGAGUAACACGUGGGUGACCUGCCCUCAGCUCUGGGAUAAGCCUGGGAAACCGGGUCUAAUACUGGAUAUGACUCCAUGACGCAUGUUGUGGGGUGGAAAGCCUUGUGCGGCUGAGGAUGGGCCCGCGGCCUAUCAGCUUGUUGGUGGGGUGANGGCCUACCAAGGCGACGACGGGUAGCCGGCCUGAGAGGGCGACCGGCCACACUGGGACUGAGACACGGCCCAGACUCCUACGGGAGGCAGCAGUGGGGAAUCUUGCGCAAUGGGCGAAAGCCUGACGCAGCGACGCCGCGUGAGGGAUGACGGCCUGGUUGUAAC